GUCUAUAGCCAUGCCACCCUGAACAAGCCUGAUCCCGUCUGAUCGCAGAAGCUAAGCAGGUUUGGGCCUGGUUAGUACUUGGAUGGGAGACCACCUAAGAAAACCAGGUGCUGUAGGCA
rnacentral:rRNA from 1 species